rnacentral:sRNA from 1 species
AUAAUAAUACUUACGGAAGCGACUGCUCCAUGAGUUGUAGCCCUCAUUGUAAACUUGAUGAGAAUAUGCCAGAUGAACUAUGCCAUCACUACAACGGUCACUGUGUCCAUGGCUGUAAGCCUGGGUAUGAUGGAUGGCAGUGCCAGGAAGAAUGUGCCCCCACAUAUUUUGGGGAAGACUGU